UACGGGUUACCAGGAAACAGAGGUGUGACUUAAGAAGAACAGCAUAUGCAGCCAUGAAACACACCACAGAUGAUCGUUCCUAAAGUCAGCCAUGAAAGACAACAAGAUGAUCACACUCUUCUACAUAACCUUUAAUAUCGUACUGGUCUCAGGUUCCUCUCUCAGUCACAAAGUCCAGCAGAGUCCAGCUAACAUUUACAAGAAACCAGCAGAAACAGCCAAAAUCAGCUGUUCACACAGUAUUGACAACUAUGAUCGAAUCUUCUGGUACAAGCA